rnacentral:rRNA from 1 species
UCUCCUGGAAAACGGGUGGUAAUGCCGGAUGUUCCAGUUGAUCGCAUGGUCUUCUGGGAAAGCUUUCGCGGUAUGGGAUGGGGUCGCGUCCUAUCAGCUUGACGGCGGGGUAACGGCCCACCGUGGCUUCGACGGGUAGCCGGCCUGAGAGGGCGACCGGCCACAUUGGGACUGAGAUACGGCCCAGACUCCUACGGGAGGCAGCAGUGGGGAAUAUUGCACAAUGGGCGCAAGCCUGAUGCAGCGACGCCGCGUGAGGGAUGGAGGCCUUCGGGUUGUAAACCUCUUUUAUCGGGGAGCAAGCGAGAGUGAGUUUACCCGUUGAAUAAGCACCGGCUAACUACGUGCCAGCAGCCGCGGUAAUACGUAGGGUGCAAGCGUUAUCCGGAAUUAUUGGGCGUAAAGGGCUCGUAGGCGGUUCGUCGCGUCCGGUGUGAAAGUCCAUCGCUUAACGGUGGAUCCGCGCCGGGUACGGGCGGGCUUGAGUGCGGUAGGGGAGACUGGAAUUCCCGGUGUAACGGUGGAAUGUGUAGAUAUC